GGGGUUGUAGCUCAGUGGUAGAGUGCUUGCCUCACGUGUGUGAGGCCCUGGGUUUGAUCCCCAGCACCA
rnacentral:tRNA from 1 species